AUGAUAUGAGAAUAUUUGAGAUGUGGGAUGAAGGACAGAUUAUCCCAUCUUCCUGAAAGCAAAUAAAAAGUAUGUCAGACGGACAAGAAAAGAGUGGGACUGGAAGGAGAGAAUUGUGACAAGAUCAACAAAAUCUUUGAACAAUGGAGACAUUUUGCUUUUACACGUUCUGUUAAUUGCCUUCUUGGAAAUUGUCAGUACAAACCACAACAUUGUUAAAUAAUAGGGGGGAUUCAAUAAAGCCUGUACAAUCA